GCGCCAGUGGUUUAUUGGUAGAAUUUACCGUUGCCAAGAAUGUGGACUACAAAUUCACAGCCUGGAAACUCGGUGAGAAGGGGGUUCGAUUCCCUCCUGGCGCA